rnacentral:rRNA from 1 species
ACUCAAAUGAAUUGACGGGGGCUCACACAAGCGGUGGAGCAUGUUGCUUAAUUCGAGGCAACGCGAAGAACCUUACCUGGGCUUGACAUGUACGGAUUAACCCGCUGAAAGGCGGGCCACACCCUCUGGGUGGAACGUGCACAGGUGCUGCAUGGCUGUCGUCAGCUCGUGCUGUGAAGUGUCGGGUUAAGUCCCUUAACGAGCGCAACCCCUGUCGUUAGUUGCUCACGGGUCAUGCCGAGUACUCUAGCGAGACUGCCGGUGUCAAACCGGAGGAAGGCGGGGAUGACGUCAAGUCCUCAUGGCCUUUAUGCCCAGGGAUGCAAACGUGCUACAAUGGCGCGCACAGAGCGAUGCAAGGCCGCGAGGCGGAGCAAAUCGCAAAAAACGCGCCCCAGUUCGGAUUGCAGGCUGCAACUCGCCUGCAUGAAGUCGGAAUCGCUAGUAAUCGGAGAUCAGCUACGCUCCGGUGAAUGUGUUCCUGAGCCUUGUACACACCGCCCGU